AGAACGAACGCUGGCGGCAUGCCUAACACAUGCAAGUCGAACGCGUGAAGCAAUCCACGAGUGGCGGACGGGUGAGUAACGCGUGGGAACCUGCCCUGGAGUGUGGGAUAACCGAGGGAAACUUCGGCUAAUACCGCAUACGACCUGAGGGUGAAAGAUUUAUCGCUCUAGGAGGGGCCCGCGUCGGAUUAGCUAGUUGGUGGGGUAAAGGCCUACCAAGGCAGUGAUCCGUAGCUGGUCUGAGAGGAUGAUCAGCCACACUGGGACUGAGACACGGCCCAGACUCCUACGGGAGGCAGCAGUGGGGAAUAUUGGACAAUGGGGGCAACCCUGAUCCAGCAAUGCCGCGUGAGUGAUGAAGGCCUUAGGGUUGUAAAGCUCUUUCGCGCGCGACGAUGAUGACGGUAGCGCGAGAAGAGCCCGGCUAACUUCGUGCCAGCAGCCGC
rnacentral:rRNA from 1 species